GGGACUAGUUGAUCAAACAGAAAUCCCUGCUUCCUGCAAAAAUGCUUUUGAUGUUGCAUGUUUCCGCAUGGAGGAGAGAUUAUCCUACUCCAACACAGAAGGGUAUAUUACUUUGAUGAAUCCAUAUGGAAUUAGGAUGUGAUCUAACUAAAAUCUCUCUUGAUUUCAUACUUACUUUCAGUGCAUAGCUAACAAAGGCAUAUGAGACUGUUAAUGUUGUUUUUGAAGUUUCAAAAGCUGUUAAUAUGACACAAUCUAUGAAAGUUGUUUGUGAGAUAGAAGGUGGUAGAGGUCCUAGUAUGUGGGAUGGGAUGCCUUUACACACACAAAAGGGACAUUUAAAAUGUGCUGCCUUUGUUGUUCUAUCUCUGUAUAAUGAUGCAAGAUAAUCUCUUGGCCAAUUUUGAAAGCUGAUCUAACUACUAAUUGUUAUCGAAUAAUCAGUGACUAAAACCCCUUCCUUUCAUGGGAGUCAAGGAGAGCAUGGUGUUAUUGGAUCGGCGAGAAGAAUUCCUUUAAAUGAUAUUGCUAACGUUGGUUCUUCAUCUUUGAAAAAAACCAGCAAAAUCAUCACAGACAACAAGUUCGUUGAAGACAGGGAAAUAUACAGUACAUAAUGGUACAUUUAUUAAUCGUGCAAGAUGUUCACUAAGAGCUUCGUUUAGGCGAAAUGUGGAAUCUAUCAAACCACGUCAUAUUGCAUUCCAAGGCCAAAAGAGAUGAAGAAAUUGGCCUUAAAGUUCGUUUAAGAGUGCAAAAGAGCAAGGUAGCCACAAUAUUACCGACGGACAAAAGCAGGAAAGGCCACCCAAAGGGCACUACACUCUGGUAAGAUUGUGAAGAAGCCUCAAAAGAAAUCUAAUAAACCCAAUCCUUCGCGAAAGCCUUCCUCUUCAAGGACAGAAGAAAUGCGGGUGCUAUUCCAGACUGACAUGAAGGAUAAAAAGCCGAAAUAGAGAGGUUCUGGAACAGGAAAGAAGGUGAAGUAAUCAUUCAAAAGCAAGUCAAGGGACAAUGAUUUGCACAGGUUUCUUUUUAUGCCUAAUGGCCUACCAGACGGUGCUGAGUUGGCUUACUAUGUCAAAGGACACGUGUCUGUCUUGAUAUUAUCUCUUUAAUAUUUUGUGUUUAUGGAUUGAUCUGCACGUUAUUUUUAUUUUUCUUAAAUAUGUGACUUGACUGA